rnacentral:rRNA from 1 species
CGGACGGGUGAGUAAUGUCUGGGAAACUGCCUGAUGAGGGGGAUAACUACUGGAAACGGUAGCUAAUACCGCAUAACGUCGCAGGACCAAAGAGGGGGACCUUCGGGCCUCUUGCCAUCGGAUGUGCCCAGAUGGGAUUAGCUAGUAGGUGGGGUAAAGGCUCACCUAGGCGACGAUCCCUAGCUGGUCUGAGAGGAUGACCAGCCACACUGGAACUGAGACACGGUCCAG